AUUGAACGCUGGCGGAAUGCUUUACACAUGCAAGUCGAACGGCAGCACGGACUUCGGUCUGGUGGCGAGUGGCGAACGGGUGAGUAAUGUAUCGGAACGUGCCCAGUCGUGGGGGAUAACGUAGUGAAAAUUACGCUAAUACCGCAUACGAUCUAUGGAUGAAAGCGGGGGAUCGCAAGACCUCGCGGGGUUGGAGGGGCCGAUAUCAGAUUAGGUAGUUGGUGGGGUAAAGGCCCACCAAGCCAACGAUCUGUAGCUGGUCUGAGAGGACGACCAGCCACACUGGAACUGAGACACGGUCCAGACUCCUACGGGAGGCAGCAGUGGGGAAUUUUGGACAAUGGGCGAAAGCCUGAUCCAGCCAUUCCGCGUGCAGGAUGAAGGCCCUCGGGUUGUAAACUGCUUUUGUACAGAACGAAAAGGUUUCUACUAAUACUAGGAGCUCAUGACGGUACUGUAAGAAUAAGCACCGGCUAACUACGUGCCAGCCGCCGCGGUAA
rnacentral:rRNA from 1 species